UACAUGUGCAGGUAGCAAUACGCUGUUUACUCAUGUAACCGAAUUGACGUUUAAGCGAACUGUAAGCUCGCCGGCCAUGAGGUGCACAAUAUCGCCCCUAGAAGUAAUCACCUGAUCAGUGAUGAAACUAGGGGCAUUUUUUAU
rnacentral:ncRNA from 1 species